GGUUAAGCGACUAAGCGUACACGGUGGAUGCCCUGGCAGUCAGAGGCGAUGAAGGACGUGCUAAUCUGCGAUAAGCGCCGGUAAGGUGAUAUGAACCGUUAUAACCGGCGAUUUCCGAAUGGGGAAACCCAGUGUGACUCGUCACACUAUCAUUAACUGAAUCCAUAGGUUAAUGAGGCGAACCGGGGGAACUGAAACAUCUAAGUACCCCGAGGAAAAGAAAUCAACCGAGAUUCCCCCAGUAGCGGCGAGCGAACGGGGAGGAGCCCAGAGCCUGAAUCAGCAUGUGUGUUAGUGGAAGCGUCUGGAAAGGCGCGCGAUACAGGGUGACAGCCCCGUACACAAAAGCGCAUAUGCUGUGAGCUCGAUGAGUAGGGCGGGACACGUGGUAUCCUGUCUGAAUAUGGGGGGACCAUCCUCCAAGGCUAAAUACUCCUGACUGACCGAUAGUGAACCAGUACCGUGAGGGAAAGGCGAAAAGAACCCCGGCGAGGGGAGUGAAAAAGAACCUGAAACCGUGUACGUACAAGCAGUGGGAGCCCCACCACUAAGCCAGUGGUGAACUCCACAUACGCAUCCUUUGCUGAGGAUACGGUUAACGGAGCGAAAGCGACGUUCAACCGCAAAAGAAGCAGAGGGGGCUUAGUGGUGGGGUGACUGCGUACCUUUUGUAUAAUGGGUCAGCGACUUAUAUUCUGUAGCAAGGUUAACCGUAUAGGGGAGCCGGAGGGAAACCGAGUCUUAACCGGGCGUUAAGUUGCAGGGUAUAGACCCGAAACCCGGUGAUCUAGCCAUGGGCAGGUUGAAGGUUGGGUAACACUAACUGGAGGACCGAACCGACUAAUGUUGAAAAAUUAGCGGAUGACCUGUGGCUGGGGGUGAAAGGCCAAUCAAACCGGGAGAUAGCUGGUUCUCCCCGAAAGCUAUUUAGGUAGCGCCUCGUGAAUUCAUCUCCGGGGGUAGAGCACUGUUUCGGCUAGGGGGCCAUCCCGGCUUACCAACCCGAUGCAAACUGCGAAUACCGGAGAAUGUUAUCACGGGAGACACACGGCGGGUGCUAACGUCCGUCGUGAAGAGGGAAACAACCCAGACCGCCAGCUAAGGUCCCAAAGUCAUGGUUAAGUGGGAAACGAUGUGGGAAGGCCCAGACAGCCAGGAUGUUGGCUUAGAAGCAGCCAUCAUUUAAAGAAAGCGUAAUAGCUCACUGGUCGAGUCGGCCUGCGCGGAAGAUGUAACGGGGCUAAACCAUGCACCGAAGCUGCGGCAGCGACACUAUGUGUUGUUGGGUAGGGGAGCGUUCUGUAAGCCUGUGAAGGUGGCCUGUGAGGGUGGCUGGAGGUAUCAGAAGUGCGAAUGCUGACAUAAGUAACGAUAAAGCGGGUGAAAAGCCCGCUCGCCGGAAGACCAAGGGUUCCUGUCCAACGUUAAUCGGGGCAGGGUGAGUCGACCCCUAAGGCGAGGCCGAAAGGCGUAGUCGAUGGGAAACGGGUUAAUAUUCCCGUACUUGGUGUUACUGCGAAGGGGGGACGGAGAAGGCUAUGUUGGCCGGGCGACGGUUGUCCCGGUUUAAGCGUGUAGGUGUGUGUUCCAGGUAAAUCCGGUUCACUUUAACACUGAGGCGUGAUGACGAGGCACUACGGUGCUGAAGCAACAAAUGCCCUGCUUCCAGGAAAAGCCUCUAAGCAUCAGGUAACAUCAAAUCGUACCCCAAACCGACACAGGUGGUCAGGUAGAGAAUACCAAGGCGCUUGAGAGAACUCGGGUGAAGGAACUAGGCAAAAUGGUGCCGUAACUUCGGGAGAAGGCACGCUGACACGUAGGUGAAGUGAUUUACUCACGGAGCUGAAGUCAGUCGAAGAUACCAGCUGGCUGCAACUGUUUAUUAAAAACACAGCACUGUGCAAACACGAAAGUGGACGUAUACGGUGUGACGCCUGCCCGGUGCCGGAAGGUUAAUUGAUGGGGUCAGCGCAAGCGAAGCUCCUGAUCGAAGCCCCGGUAAACGGCGGCCGUAACUAUAACGGUCCUAAGGUAGCGAAAUUCCUUGUCGGGUAAGUUCCGACCUGCACGAAUGGCGUAAUGAUGGCCAGGCUGUCUCCACCCGAGACUCAGUGAAAUUGAACUCGCUGUGAAGAUGCAGUGUACCCGCGGCAAGACGGAAAGACCCCGUGAACCUUUACUAUAGCUUGACACUGAACAUUGAGCCUUGAUGUGUAGGAUAGGUGGGAGGCUUUGAAGUGUGGACGCCAGUCUGCAUGGAGCCGACCUUGAAAUACCACCCUUUAAUGUUUGAUGUUCUAACGUGGACCCGUGAUCCGGGUUGCGGACAGUGUCUGGUGGGUAGUUUGACUGGGGCGGUCUCCUCCUAAAGAGUAACGGAGGAGCACGAAGGUUGGCUAAUCCUGGUCGGACAUCAGGAGGUUAGUGCAAUGGCAUAAGCCAGCUUGACUGCGAGCGUGACGGCGCGAGCAGGUGCGAAAGCAGGUCAUAGUGAUCCGGUGGUUCUGAAUGGAAGGGCCAUCGCUCAACGGAUAAAAGGUACUCCGGGGAUAACAGGCUGAUACCGCCCAAGAGUUCAUAUCGACGGCGGUGUUUGGCACCUCGAUGUCGGCUCAUCACAUCCUGGGGCUGAAGUAGGUCCCAAGGGUAUGGCUGUUCGCCAUUUAAAGUGGUACGCGAGCUGGGUUUAGAACGUCGUGAGACAGUUCGGUCCCUAUCUGCCGUGGGCGCUGGAGAACUGAGGGGGGCUGCUCCUAGUACGAGAGGACCGGAGUGGACGCAUCACUGGUGUUCGGGUUGUCAUGCCAAUGGCACUGCCCGGUAGCUAAAUGCGGAAGAGAUAAGUGCUGAAAGCAUCUAAGCACGAAACUUGCCCCGAGAUGAGUUCUCCCUGAGACUUAGAGUCUCCUGAAGGAACGUUGAAGACGACGACGUUGAUAGGCCGGGUGUGUAAGCGCAGCGAUGCGUUGAGCUAACCGGUACUAAUGAACCGUGAGGCUUAACCUU
rnacentral:rRNA from 1 species